AACUGCACUGGUCUACCAUGUGUCCACCAAGAAACAUCAAUUUGAUUUUGCGAACAAAGAAAUUCUGAAAAAAGUCCGGUCAAAACGAACGAUCAAAAUACAUGAAGCGAACAAAAUCAUUCUCAAAGGAAAUUCAGCUGUGAACUUCAGAAAAGAUGCAGCUCAUGUAUCGCCAAUGUUCUACAAUCUGAUCGUGAAUAGUGGAAAACGCCGCCAUGUGAACCUGCCUCGAAGACGGAAUGAUGAAAUGAAUCUGCAACAGAUGUUUGAGUGACAGGUGAAAUUGUCAAGUGACAAACAUAAACAAACGAGACUGUAAGCAAGUGCUAAGUAAAAACCAAGAAAUUGAUCAAGUUUGUUUACAACCUAGUAGUAAGCCCUUGAAGAUGACUGGUCACACAGUCGAAAGCUAGGCUCAAAUUUGGUCACAUCAACUUUUGGAGUUUUAAUUUUGUCGAAUCCAGGCGAUACAACGCAAUAUCCAAUUUCGUUCUAAAUCGACAAGCAAUACAACAACUAUAAA